rnacentral:rRNA from 1 species
UGAGGAAUAUUGGUCAAUGGGCGAGAGCCUGAACCAGCCAAGUCGCGUGAAGGAAGACUGCCUUAUGGGUUGUAAACUUCUUUUAUACAGGAAUAAAAAGGCUUACGUGUAGGCCAUUGCAAGUACUGUAUGAAUAAGCAUCGGCUAACUCCGUGCCAGCAGCCGCGGUAAUACGGAGGAUGCGAGCGUUAUCCGGAUUUAUUGGGUUUAAAGGGUGCGCAGGCGGGCUUUUAAGUCAGCGGUGAAAUCUGGACGCUUAACGUCCAAACUGCCGUUGAAACUGGGAGUCUUGAGUAUGGAUGAAGUAGGCGGAAUUCGUUGUGUAGCGGUGACAUGCAUAGAUAUAACGAGGAACUCCGAUUGCGUAGGCAGCUUACUAAGCCAUAACUGACGCUCAUGCACGAAAAGCGUGGGGAUCAAACAGGAUUAGAUACCCUGGUAGUCCACGCCGUAAAACGAUGAUUACUAGUUGUAUGCGAUAUGAUAGUAUGCGACUAAGCGAAAGCGAUAAGUAAUCCACCUGGGGAGUACGCCGGCAACGGUGAAACUCAAAGGAAUUGACGGGGGUCAUAGCUGUUUUCCUG